GCGGCGGCGGCGCCUCCGCCGGAAGGGAAGCGGAGCCGCCCCGGCCAAGGGGAGGGGAGAGCGCGGGGGAGGGGACACCGCCCGGCCCGGCGCCCCCAGGGGCGGGCGGGCGGCCGCCCCGUGCUCCCCUCCGCGCUGCGGUACCUGCGCUGGAAGUCGGUCCGGAAAGGCGCCAGGCUCCUAGAGUGUUGCAUAUCCACUCACAGCUGACAGUUGCUACUGUGGAAACAGCUGGAUUGCAACAAUCUGCAUGUCCAAGGUUUAGUCCCUGCUGAAUGUGCCAUUCCCUCAGUCCAGAUAUUUCUUCUACAAAAGGAGAGGAAGACAGUUGCUUCUAAGUCCUGAGCUUGGCAGUCUUCCUGAUGCAGACAGGAGAUGGGACUUGCUUUGUAGUCAUCAGCCCAUGAGGCCUACAAAAGAAGAACAGUGAUGUUUAUGUUGGGGGAUUCUAAUUCCUCAGCUUUGGCACUCCUGCAGCUGUCUCCUCAGCAACUCCUGUGUUGCCAUCUGAUUCAACACGUGCACAAGAAACACUUGCAAAGGGAGCUGAGUCAUUCUCUAAAUCUGGAACAUCGUCCUUGGAACACAAAACUUUCCUCUGCAGGACUUAAG